AGCGUACACGGUGGAUGCCCUGGCAGUCAGAGGCGAUGAAGGACGUGCUAAUCUGCGAUAAGCGUCGGUAAGGUGAUAUGAACCGUUAUAACCGGCGAUUUCCGAAUGGGGAAACCCAGUGUGUUUCGACACACUAUCAUUAACUGAAUCCAUAGGUUAAUGAGGCGAACCGGGGGAACUGAAACAUCUAAGUACCCCGAGGAAAAGAAAUCAACCGAGAUUCCCCCAGUAGCGGCGAGCGAACGGGGAGCAGCCCAGAGCCUGAAUCAGUGUGUGUGUUAGUGGAAGCGUCUGGAAAGGCGCGCGAUACAGGGUGACAGCCCCGUACACAAAAAUGCACAUGCUGUGAGCUCGAUGAGUAGGGCGGGACACGUGGUAUCCUGUCUGAAUAUGGGGGGACCAUCCUCCAAGGCUAAAUACUCCUGACUGACCGAUAGUGAACCAGUACCGUGAGGGAAAGGCGAAAAGAACCCCGGCGAGGGGAGUGAAAAAGAACCUGAAACCGUGUACGUACAAGCAGUGGGAGCCUCUUUUAUGGGGUGACUGCGUACCUUUUGUAUAAUGGGUCAGCGACUUAUAUUCUGUAGCAAGGUUAACCGAAUAGGGGAGCCGAAGGGAAACCGAGUCUUAACUGGGCGUUAAGUUGCAGGGUAUAGACCCGAAACCCGGUGAUCUAGCCAUGGGCAGGUUGAAGGUUGGGUAACACUAACUGGAGGACCGAACCGACUAAUGUUGAAAAAUUAGCGGAUGACUUGUGGCUGGGGGUGAAAGGCCAAUCAAACCGGGAGAUAGCUGGUUCUCCCCGAAAGCUAUUUAGGUAGCGCCUCGUGAAUUCAUCUCCGGGGGUAGAGCACUGUUUCGGCAAGGGGGUCAUCCCGACUUACCAACCCGAUGCAAACUGCGAAUACCGGAGAAUGUUAUCACGGGAGACACACGGCGGGUGCUAACGUCCGUCGUGAAGAGGGAAACAACCCAGACCGCCAGCUAAGGUCCCAAAGUCAUGGUUAAGUGGGAAACGAUGUGGGAAGGCCCAGACAGCCAGGAUGUUGGCUUAGAAGCAGCCAUCAUUUAAAGAAAGCGUAAUAGCUCACUGGUCGAGUCGGCCUGCGCGGAAGAUGUAACGGGGCUAAACCAUGCACCGAAGCUGCGGCAGCGACGCUGAUGCGUUGUUGGGUAGGGGAGCGUUCUGUAAGCCUGUGAAGGUGUGCUGUGAGGCAUGCUGGAGGUAUCAGAAGUGCGAAUGCUGACAUAAGUAACGAUAAAGCGGGUGAAAAGCCCGCUCGCCGGAAGACCAAGGGUUCCUGUCCAACGUUAAUCGGGGCAGGGUGAGUCGACCCCUAAGGCGAGGCCGAAAGGCGUAGUCGAUGGGAAACAGGUUAAUAUUCCUGUACUUGGUGUUACUGCGAAGGGGGGACGGAGAAGGCUAUGUUGGCCGGGCGACGGUUGUCCCGGUUUAAGCGUGUAGGCUGGUUUUCCAGGCAAAUCCGGAAAAUCAAGGCUGAGGCGUGAUGACGAGGCACUACGGUGCUGAAGCAACAAAUGCCCUGCUUCCAGGAAAAGCCUCUAAGCAUCAGGUAACAUCAAAUCGUACCCCAAACCGACACAGGUGGUCAGGUAGAGAAUACCAAGGCGCUUGAGAGAACUCGGGUGAAGGAACUAGGCAAAAUGGUGCCGUAACUUCGGGAGAAGGCACGCUGAUAUGUAGGUGAAGUCCCUCGCGGAUGGAGCUGAAAUCAGUCGAAGAUACCAGCUGGCUGCAACUGUUUAUUAAAAACACAGCACUGUGCAAACACGAAAGUGGACGUAUACGGUGUGACGCCUGCCCGGUGCCGGAAGGUUAAUUGAUGGGGUCAGCGCAAGCGAAGCUCUUGAUCGAAGCCCCGGUAAACGGCGGCCGUAACUAUAACGGUCCUAAGGUAGCGAAAUUCCUUGUCGGGUAAGUUCCGACCUGCACGAAUGGCGUAAUGAUGGCCAGGCUGUCUCCACCCGAGACUCAGUGAAAUUGAACUCGCUGUGAAGAUGCAGUGUACCCGCGGCAAGACGGAAAGACCCCGUGAACCUUUACUAUAGCUUGACACUGAACAUUGAGCCUUGAUGUGUAGGAUAGGUGGGAGGCUUUGAAGUGUGGACGCCAGUCUGCAUGGAGCCGACCUUGAAAUACCACCCUUUAAUGUUUGAUGUUCUAACGUUGACCCGUAAUCCGGGUUGCGGACAGUGUCUGGUGGGUAGUUUGACUGGGGCGGUCUCCUCCUAAAGAGUAACGGAGGAGCACGAAGGUUGGCUAAUCCUGGUCGGACAUCAGGAGGUUAGUGCAAUGGCAUAAGCCAGCUUGACUGCGAGCGUGACGGCGCGAGCAGGUGCGAAAGCAGGUCAUAGUGAUCCGGUGGUUCUGAAUGGAAGGGCCAUCGCUCAACGGAUAAAAGGUACUCCGGGGAUAACAGGCUGAUACCGCCCAAGAGUUCAUAUCGACGGCGGUGUUUGGCACCUCGAUGUCGGCUCAUCACAUCCUGGGGCUGAAGUAGGUCCCAAGGGUAUGGCUGUUCGCCAUUUAAAGUGGUACGCGAGCUGGGUUUAGAACGUCGUGAGACAGUUCGGUCCCUAUCUGCCGUGGGCGCUGGAGAACUGAGGGGGGCUGCUCCUAGUACGAGAGGACCGGAGUGGACGCAUCACUGGUGUUCGGGUUGUCAUGCCAAUGGCACUGCCCGGUAGCUAAAUGCGGAAGAGAUAAGUGCUGAAAGCAUCUAAGCACGAAACUUGCCCCGAGAUGAGUUCUCCCUGACUCCUUGA
rnacentral:rRNA from 1 species